UUUCUCCCAGGCAUCUAGUUCUGACUUAGUAAUCCCCAGACUUGGUAACUACCUAAGCAACGCAUGUUGACCAUCUGUUCCCACAGGAUUGGGGCAGGGAUGAAAAGCAGAAAGGAUGGUAAAAACCCAGUAUUUAACAUUCCCCUAGAUUGACUUUUUUUUUUUAGCAGAAAGCUAUGAAUCUAAGGAGAUGUUGAUUCGAUUUUCACAAUCCAUCUUUCCAAGGGCAGUGAAACACAGGAAAGGAGCUGCUUUUCUUGGAAGGAAAAGAGAAUGUCAAGUUGUUACUAUUUAUUUGUAUUCACACAUCCUGUCUCUCCUAAUAUCUCACCUGUCAGAGACUAAUGGGACAAAAGCAGACAGAGGCUAAGGAGGAAGAUAACAUUUUUAUUCAAUUCAAUCCAAAAAUUGUUAGGAACUGGAGAUGGAAAGAUGAUGACAUGGCCCUCAAGGAACUCAGAACAGAUGAGAAGGUAAGUCUGAUACAUGUGCUAAGAGCAAUGAGGGCGAUGAACCUGGAGUUACAGAUGCUGACUCCUCAACCCGAGGAUGCCUUCUGGAAAAGAUGAUAUCUGAGCCAAGUCAGAGGUUGUGCCGCAGUAAUCCAGCAAAAUGAAUAGUGGGACAAAGUCAGCAAUAUGAGCCGUCUAGGUAAAGGAAAUACAAACAGACAAAAAAUGUCUAACAUCUAUCAGGCCUGCUGCCUUCUGAUGCUGUCUUAAGUGCUUUCCAUGAUGACACCGUGCUCAAUGAAACCACUACUAUCAGCAUCCCUGUUUUUCAAAUGUAACAAUAAGGCUGUAAAAGUUAAGUAGCUUGCCCAAACAGUAGGUGGUACACAUCAGAAUGAGGAUUUGAACUCAGGUCAAUAUGAUUCUAAAGCCUCAUUUUUAUUAGAGACAAGCUACACUGUUCUCCCAAAGUGAUGAGGAAAGGUACCAAAUAUGGGUGACAGCAUAUCACCAGAGGGUAAUGACUACAAAGAGUGCUGUUUCCAGAUGGUAAUGUGGGAAGCAGAGAGUGGCUCAAGAUUACAUGAAACUUUGUGUGUGUG
rnacentral:lncRNA from 1 species